ensembl:lncRNA
GGAAAGUAUGCGAUUUGGGACGCGACCGAACUCUCUCGUUCGCCGUAAAACGUAAAACUGCCGUGUGUGAUCGCGUCCUGUCGCAAAAUGCGGUGAAAACUCUCACACGACGUUCAUAACGUGAUUAAGUUGAGAAGGGUGAUUUCUCACCGGGGACCAGCAGCAGAAGCACUAAAGCUUAUUCACGGCGGGGUCCGAUAUCUACAGAAAGCCAUCAUGAAAUUAGAUUACGAACAGUCUUAUUUGCCUCUCUGUAUGAGCACACUAAGGUCUUAAAGGUGAAAGUGAGAGAGGCCCAAUUAGCGAGAUUGCAGUGAGAGGAUCUGCUCACUCAGCACAUAUACGAGGAUGUAUAGACCAGUGCACAAGCCCAGAGCUGGAGGAGGAACAAGAUUUUAGAAAGUUUCACAAGGCAUCAGGUUGCAACAUCAUUGAGGUUUGCAUCAAGAAUGGGAUCCUGCGGGAUGCAGCAAAAAGUC